CAGGAAGUAGGCGGGACAAGGAGAGAGGAGAAUUCCGGGAAGUGGAAGGCUGAGGUGGGAGACACUGCCAGCCGCCGCCAUGACAAACAGCAUGUACAGAUGCCGGGCUUACCCAGGAGUACAGUGGGAAAAGAACCACUGACUGCCUCAUCAUGGAUGAUGACUCACAAAAGCUGCAUCCCUGCAGCUCCCUGCAGGACUUUCCUGCAGCUCAGCUGGUGCUGGGGAGUCCUCUUUCUCCAGCAGUUGCUCAACUGUGAAUCUUGCAAGUUUUUGAUGCUUCCUGAGGAUUUCCUGUGUUGUUUACUUCCUCAGUCUCAUGAGCCUUCUCCUAGGUACUCCCAUGAACCUACUGCUGCCCAGGUACCCAACAGAAACUUUCACUAUAAUAUAUAAAAGCCAUGUUUUCAACAUACAAACUUUCAUUAUUUAUUCACCCGAUCGAUCAUCACUGCAGAGGAUAACAGGGACUCUUCUGGAAAUUAAGAAACUGUGUAGUCCCAGCCAGAGAGUCCUGAAAAAGGAUAAGGAAGGGUGGAUUUGGAAAUAGAAGAUGACACCUUCACAGAAACUGCAGGCUUAUUCUGAUUAAGUAUAACGACGCACAUGAGAAUGACGCACAUGAGGAGGAGCUCAAAGCCACAGGUCUUAGAGGAACAGUAUUGAGACACAGCAGCUUUUACUAAUGAUUUU